GACGAACGCUGGCGGCGUGCUUAACACAUGCAAGUCGAACGAUGAUCUCCCGCUUGCGGGGGUGAUUAGUGGCGAACGGGUGAGUAAUACGUGAGUAACCUGCCCUUGACUCUGGGAUAAGCCUGGGAAACCGGGUCUAAUACUGGAUACUACUUCCUGCCGCAUGGUGGGGGGUGGAAAGGGUUUUACUGGUUUUGGAUGGGCUCACGGCCUAUCAGCUUGUUGGUGGAGUAAUGGCUCACCAAGGCGACGACGGGUAGCCGGCCUGAGAGGGUGACCGGCCACACUGGGACUGAGACACGGCCCAGACUCCUACGGGAGGCAGCAGUGGGGAAUAUUGCACAAUGGGCGGAAGCCUGAUGCAGCGACGCCGCGUGAGGGAUGACGGCCUUCGGGUUGGAAACCUCUUUCAGCAGGGAAGAAGCCACAAGUGACGGUACCUGCAGAAGAAGCGCCGGCUAACUACGUG
rnacentral:rRNA from 1 species